rnacentral:rRNA from 1 species
UUUCCCGGUUGAUCCUGCCGGAGGUCACUGCUAUCAGUGUUCGACUAAGCCAUGCGAGUCAAAUGUUCUUCGUGAACAUGGCGUACUGCUCAGUAACACGUGGACAACCUGCCCUAAGGUCUGGCAUAACUCCGGGAAACUGGGGAUAAUUCCAGAUGAAUCAUAGAUACUGGAAUGUUCUGUGAUUAAAAGCUCCGGCGCCUUAGGAUGGAUCUGCGGCCUAUCAGGUAGUAGUGGGUGUAACGUACCUACUAGCCUACGACGGGUACGGGUUGUGAGAGCAAGAGCCCGGAGAUGGAUUCUGAGACAUGAAUCCAGGCCCUACGGGGCGCAGCAGGCGCGAAAACUUUACAAUGCGGGAAACCGCGAUAAGGGGACACUGAGUGCCAGCACCAUGUGUUGGCUGUCCGCAUGUAUAAAUCACAUGUGUCAGCAAGGGCCGGGCAAGACCGGUGCCAGCCGCCGCGGUAACACCGGCGGCCCGAGUGGUGGCCAUUAUUAUUGGGUCUAAAGGGUCCGUAGCCGGUUUGAUCAGUCUUCCGGGAAAUCUGACAGCUCAACUGUUAGGCUUCUGGGGGAUACUGUCAGACUUGGAACCGGGAGAGGUAAGAGGUACUACAGGGGUAGGAGUGAAAUCUUGUAAUCCUUGUGGGACCACCAGUGGCGAAGGCGUCUUACCAGAACGGGUUCGACGGUGAGGGACGAAAGCUGGGGGCACGAACCGGAUUAGAUACCCGGGUAGUCCCAGCCGUAAACGAUGCUCGCUAGGUGUCUGGGAUGGUGCGACCGUUUCAGGUGCCGCAGGGAAGCCGUGAAGCGAGCCACCUGGGAAGUACGGCCGCAAGGCUGAAACUUAAAGGAAUUGGCGGGGGAGCAC